GAAAGUGAACAAGCUAUAGUCUUGAGUCAAGAGCUCGUGGCACUGCUGUCCCCCCACGUAAACGAACAUGGGCUGCAUGUGCCCACUCUGGGACGUGGAACCUCAAGGGCAAGACAUGCGCAGUUCAACAGACGGGAUGAUACGGCAGAAAUGGAAACAUACGUUCACCGCAACAACAUGCUUGUAGAGCCACAGUUACCACAGGCGCCUACACCUUCCCCGAGGAAGGAGUCUCUUCAGACUCCUGCCAAACGGAUGAAAUCGAGAAGUUUGGUUUAAGAAUUUAAGAAUACUGCACGGGAAGAACUUCUGCAGCUUGCCACUGAACGACUACACCGAGGUCCUGAAGAUGUAAAUCUUAGCCAAGCAAAGACAUGGGCAGCUGAACUCUCAACGAUGCCUCCUGACCAGCAGUUGUUCGCGAAGAAAGCUAUCAAUGAUACACUUUUUGAGGGGCAGACGGGUAUAUUUAAAAUGAAUUCGGUCAAAAUAAACGAUGACAAUUUAGAUGCAUAGCCGGCCAGUUACACCAUCUUCGACUAUGUCUGAUCAGUCCCCGACAUUUGUACCUUCUUCAAACUGUGUCGCUGUAGGCGCAACUAUCUACAUGUAGCCCAACAAGUGGGGCUCUCGAGCAACACUCAAGAUGGAUACUAAUAGUUGUAAUUGUAUUCUCCGGCCAAUUACUUCUUGAGCUUUAAUCCCAAAUUCUUAGAAUUCAAGUAAACUCUACACUAUGAUGCAGACUGAUAACAUUUUGUGUCUUCAGUAAUUUCAUCAAUGCGUUGACAAUGAUUUCUUCGUUUGCAGCAAUUCUUAUUUUUAUCUUCAUAUGAUACCUGUGUGGUGGCCGCAGACGACACAACUUUGACAUUAUUCAUUAUUGUUUCUCGUAAUUUCAUUCGUUGUUCUCUUUCUAAUUAAACUUAGAUUUGGUAAUUUCAA